rnacentral:rRNA from 1 species
CCUACGGGAGGCAGCAGCAGGGAAUAUUGCACAAUGGACGGAAGUCUGAUGCAGCGACGCCGCGUGGACGAAGAAGGCCUUCGGGUUGUAAAGUCCUUUUCAGGGGGAAGAGGCAGGACGGUACCCCUGGAAUAAGCGUCGGCUAACUACGUGCCAGCAGCCGCGGUAAGACGUAGGACGCGAGCGUUAUCCGGAUUUACUGGGCGUAAAGCGUCUGUAGGCGGGCCAGUAAGUUGGACGUAAAAGCUCCGGGCUUAACCCGGAGAGGACGUACAAGACUGCUGAACUAGAGGCCACCAGAGGGGCGUGGAAUUUCCGGUGUAGCGGUAAAAUGCGCAGAUAUCGGAAGGAACACCAGUGGCGAAGGCGGCGCCCUGGGGUGGGCCUGACGCUAAGAGACGAAAGCUAGGGGAGCGAACAGGAUUAGAGACCCUGGUAGUCCUAGCCGUAAACGAUGGAUGCUAGGUGUGGGGCCGACAGGCUCCGUGCCGUAGCUAACGCGAUAAGCAUCCCGCCUGGGGAGUACGG